ensembl:lincRNA
AUUUACUAAGAAACUGGAAAGUAAAGUUCAGUACUCUAAAGGGGCGGGGGGCAAAUAGCACAGUUCUAUUACCUGGUGAUGUAACAUCAGAUGAACUGGAACAUACUCAGAUGUAGUGUUGGUCCAGGAUAUCUUCACCCACAGGACAGUGGAAAGUAAACAUAAACCAAUAUUGAGAUGGCACUGUUUGGUUUUGCCAUACCACUAGGUUGAAACUGGAUUCUUUGCACCUCAUACCCUGUCCAGGUCUUGUAGACAGUUUCACACAUGUGGUAAAUGGGUCUUUAAGUCUGUUCUUAUAAUUCCCUUUCUUCGGGCUACCUGCCUAGGUCCCCCAUCCGUGUCAUUUUUCCUUGGGAAUCCAGGUCCCUAAAGAGUUUGUUCAGUCCUGUCCCUGAUGCAAGUCCCUUCCCCAAUCCCACAUCUGCCUUUUAACUCGAGGAGCUGGCUGGAAGGAAGCCCUGCAGGGCCAGGGUUGCGGGGCGAGCCUGGGAUGUGGCCUGGGAACUGGCGGCGCCACAGCUGCCGGGGAGCAGGAGUCGCCUGCCCGUCUGGGUGCCCCUCCCACAGCCCCGGGGCAGCCGAAGAUCCGCGGAUCAGAGGAGCGGAAGUGCCGACCAGAGCGGCGGCCAAACCGAGGAGGGCGUGGGACACGGCCCAGAACCCCUCCCUCCCAACCGCGAGAGACCACGCGGCGGAAACUACACCUCCCAGGAGGGACCAGGACCCAACGCCUCGCCGUGCGCCCUCGCGUCCCACCUCGGGCACCCCCGUCCCUCGCGCUAGCGCCGCGCACGCGCACCGCCAGCCGGCGCCAUGUUGGAUCGGUUUGAACGCAAGCGCGGGCGUCGAGUUCUGCUGUGACGGCAGCGGCGGCGGGAGCUGCGGGCCGGCGGAGGCGGGGCGUGAGCUCGGCGCGGAUGCCUCGUCCCGUCGCCGGUACCGUGAUACAACCCAGGCUUCCGGCGGAAAGCUGGGGGAAGGGUCGUUGAAAUGUCUCGCCCUGACUUUAGCAUUCUGUUUGCCAGGAUGGGUUUGCUUUUGGAGAUACGAACGGCAGCUUUUGCAGAGGAAAUGCUGUUUCAUCAGGGAAAUGCAUAAACAUUUUGAAGAAGCAUGGCAAAAUCAAAAACAAAAUACAGAGUUUGUUCUCAAGAGUCUUCAAUAUCUUCUCUCCUGGCAAGCUGCAGCCUAAGUAGUAGCAAUUCCUCUAACUCUGUUGGCUCUUUUCACUAUAAGGAUAAACUGUACAGUUCUGCUUCUCAGGCUCUACAGGCCUAUAUUGAUGAUUUUGAUCUAAGCCAGGUGUAUCCUAGUGCAAGCACUGGAAAAAUUAGCAUUGAUAAAGGUGCUGCUAAUAUUCCACACUUCUCCAGUUAUAUUUCUAAACCAAGCAAUGGUACGCUUUUGUUCUUUGUUUUCAUCAUGUCUAGUGAUUUGAAGCAUAAGUAGGUAAUUGAUUCUAAACCUCUAAAAAGUUGUUUUACUGUAUACCAUAAUGGUAACAAUGUUGCUUCAGUGAUUCUGGCUUUCAUUGACUAACUUAACAGUUUUAAACUUCAGCACAUUUGAGGUUAUACUUGUUUAGUUUCACUUGAUGGGAUAGGAUUAUAUUAGUCUUUUUGAUCUGUUUUUGUGUGGACCAGUAAUCACAAAAUGUUAAAGAGAGUUUGUCUUUGAUAAAACCUCCAUGAAGGUGAAUCUGAAAGUGUUGUUGAUAAACUAGUUAGCACUUUACUAAGCAAUGAACCGAAUGGGACUAGAGGGCUGGGGAUACAUAGCUCAGCCACACUGCACCUACUUGGCAAGUGUGAAAUUGAUUUUUAUUCCUGGUACCAAAAAUAAAAAAGGCCCUAGAAAAGAAAAAGUGUGUAUUCAACUGUGGAUGAUGUAUUUCAGAAGAAAAUGAGCACAACUUUUCAGUGUGUGUAACCAUGCUGUUGUGAGUAGGAAAGAGAGCACAUUAUUUUUCCUCUUAGUUUGAUAGCAUAUCUGUGCUACAACCAAUAUCAAAUGGCCAGUGUUAACAUGGUUGUAUUAGAAUAUCAAGCAUGUCUAAAUGAAAACUGUUGAAGACAUGGUGAAUUAGAGAAUAUUGGACAGUUC